rnacentral:rRNA from 1 species
UUCUGGUUGAUCCUGCCGGACCUGACUGCUAUCGGAUUGAUACUAAGCCAUGCGAGUCAUUGUAGCAAUACAAGGCAUACGGCUCAGUAACGCGUAGUCAACCUAACCUAUGGACGGGAAUAACCUCGGGAAACUGAGAAUAAUGCCCGAUAGAACAUUAUACCUGGAAUGGUUUAUGUUCCAAAUGAUUUAUCGCCGUAGGAUGGGACUGCGGCCUAUCAGUUUGUUGGUGAGGUAAUGGCCCACCAAGACUAUUACAGGUACGGGCUCUGAGAGGAGUAGCCCGGAGAUGGGUACUGAGACACGGACCCAGGCCCUAUGGGGCGCAGCAGGCGAGAAAACUUUGCAAUGUGCGAAAGCACGACAAGGUUAAUCCGAGUGAUUUCUGCUAAAGAAAUCUUUUGUUAGUCCUAGAAACACUAACGAAUAAGAGGUGGGCAAGUUCUGGUGUCAGCCGCCGCGGUAAAACCAGCACCUCAAGUGGUCAGGAUGGUUAUUGGGCCUAAAGCAUCCGUAGCCGGCUCUGUAAGUUUUCGGUUAAAUCUGUACGCUUAACGUACAGGCCGCCGGGAAUACUGCAAAGCUAGGGAGUGGGAGAAGUAGACGGUACUCGGUAGGAAGUGGUAAAAUGCUUUGAUCUAUCGAUGACCACCUGUGGCGAAGGCGGUCUACUAGAACACGUCCGACGGUGAGGGAUGAAAGCUGGGGGAGCAAACCGGAUUAGAUACCCGGGUAGUCCCAGCUGUAAACUAUGCAAACUCAGUGAUGCAUUGGCUUGUGGCCAAUGCAGUGCUGCAGGGAAGCCGUUAAGUUUGCCGCCUGGGAAGUACGUACGCAAGUAUGAAACUUAAAGGAAUUGGCGGGGGAGCACCACAAGGGGUGAAGCCUGCGGUUCAAUUGGAGUCAACGCCGGG